rnacentral:rRNA from 1 species
UACGGAGGGUGCAAGCGUUGUCCGGAUUUAUUGGGUUUAAAGGGUGCGUAGGCGGCGUAAUAAGUCCGUGGUGAAAGCCAACAGCUCAACUGUUGAACUGCCAUGGAUACUGUUAGGCUUGAGUACAGACGAGGUAGGCGGAAUGGAUCGUGUAGCGGUGAAAUGCAUAGAUACGAUCCAGAACUCCGAUUGCGAAGGCAGCUUACUAGGCUGUAACUGACGCUGAGGCACGAAAGCGUGGGGAGCGAACAGG